AAAGUCGUGGCGUAAUGGAAGCGUGUUUGCAUGCCAUGCAAAAGGUGCCGGUUCGACCCCGGCCGGCUUUC
rnacentral:tRNA from 1 species